rnacentral:rRNA from 1 species
CAGCCGCCGCGGGAAUACGUAGGGUGCAAGCGUUAAUCGGAAUUACUGGGCGUAAAGCGUGCGCAGGCGGUUAUAUAAGACAGAUGUGAAAUCCCCGGGCUCAACCUGGGAACUGCAUUUGUGACUGUAUAGCUAGAGUACGGCAGAGGGGGAUGGAAUUCCGCGUGUAGCAGUGAAAUGCGUAGAUAUGCGGAGGAACACCGAUGGCGAAGGCAAUCCCCUGGGCCUGUACUGACGCUUAUGCACGAAAGCGUGGGGAGCAAACAGGAUUAGAUACCCCAGUAGUCCCUGUCUCUUAUAC